GGCACAGAGAGACUGAGUGGAUCUGCUGAGUUUACAGGUAUGACCCGGCAGGAUGCCUUUGUUGCCCUGACUCGGAAAGCCCGUGGGAUGAGAGUGGGUGGACACGUGACAAGUAACAAGCUGAAGGACUGGCUGGUCUCAAGGCAGCGCUACUGGGGCACACCCAUCCCCAUUGUCCACUGCCCAGCCUGUGGCCCUGUGCCUGUGCCACUGCAAGACUUGCCUGUGACUUUGCCCAGCAUCACAUCUCUAACGGGCAGAGGGGGCUCCCCGCUGGCCUCGGCUUUGGAGUGGGUAAACUGCUCCUGCCCAAGGUAAGGAACUACAGCCUGCACCCUGGGGUGUCUUGGAUAGCCUCCCUUCACUGGAUGCCAAAUGC
rnacentral:lncRNA from 1 species